rnacentral:rRNA from 1 species
GAUGAACGCUAGCUACAGGCUUAACACAUGCAAGUCGAGGGGAAACGAUAUUGGAAGCUUGCUUCCGAUAGGCGUCGACCGGCGCACGGGUGAGUAACGCGUAUCCAACCUGCCCAUCACUUGGGGAUAACCUUGCGAAAGUAAGACUAAUACCCAAUGAUAUCUCUAGAAGACAUCUGAAAGAGAUUAAAGAUUUAUCGGUGAUGGAUGGGGAUGCGUCUGAUUAGCUUGUUGGCGGGGUAACGGGACCCACCCAAGGCGACGAUCAGUAGCCGGUCUGAGAGGAUGAACGGCCACAACUGGAACUNAGACACGGCCCAGA